UACGGGGGGGGGCAAGCGUUGUUCGGAAUUACUGGGCGUAAAGGCUCGUAGGCGGCCAACUAAGUCAGACGUGAAAUCCCUCGGCUUAACCGGGGAACUGCGUCUGAUACUGGAUGGCUGGAGUUUGGGAGAGGGAUGCGGAAUUCCAGGUGUAGCGGUGAAAUGCGUAGAUAUCUGGAGGAACACCGGUGGCGAAGGCGGCAUCCUGGACCAAUAUUGACGCUGAGGAGCGAAAGCCAGGGGAGCAAACGGG
rnacentral:rRNA from 1 species